AUUGAACGCUGGCGGCAGGCUUAACACAUGCAAGUCGAGCGGGGGAAGGUAGCUUGCUACCGGACCUAGCGGCGGACGGGUGAGUAAUGCUUAGGAAUCUGCCUAUUAGUGGGGGACAACAUCUCGAAAGGGAUGCUAAUACCGCAUACGUCCUACGGGAGAAAGCAGGGGAUCUUCGGACCUUGCGCUAAUAGAUGAGCCUAAGUCGGAUUAGCUAGUUGGUGGGGUAAAGGCCUACCAAGGCGACGAUCUGUAGCGGGUCUGAGAGGAUGAGCAGCCACACUGGGACUGAGACACGGCGCAGACUCCUACGGGAGGCAGCAGUGGGGAAUAUUGGACAAUGGGGGGAACCCUGAUCCAGCCAUGCCGCGUGUGUGAAGAAGGCCUUAUGGUUGUAAAGCACUUUAAGCGAGGAGGAGGCUACUCUAGUUAAUACCUAGGGAUAGUGGACGUUACUCGCAGAAUAAGCACCGGCUAACUCUGUGCCAGCCGCCGCGGUAA
rnacentral:rRNA from 1 species